GCAUGAAAGAUAGCUCAGUCAGUAGAGCAUCAGACUCUUAAUGUCAGUGUUGUGGGUUUGAGCCCCACGUUGGGCA